CGGCGGCUGCGCGGGCCGAGCCGGGCGGAGCUCCCUCGCGCCGAGUCGUCGUUGCCCCUUGGCCGGUCGCGGCGGCCCUGGCAGAGAGCGAGCUCCGCGCUGCUCACCGGCCACUUCUGCACAGACUGAAACAUGGCUGAGGAUCCUCAGAGAAAUUUCCGAUCGGUGUAUUAUGAAAAAGUAGGAUUUCGUGGUGUUGAAGAAAAGAAAUCACUGGAAAUUCUUCUGAAAGAUGAUCGGCUUGAUAUUGAGAAGCUCUGCACAUUCAGUCAGAGGUUUCCUCUCCCAUCCAUGUAUCGGAUCCUUGUGUGGAAGGUGCUUCUAGGAAUUCUUCCGCCUCACCAUGAAUCUCACGGGUUUGUGAUGCGAUGCCGAAAGGAGCAGUAUAAGGACGUGCACCAUGCGCUCCGAGUAAUUCGCUUUAUCAAGGAUUCUACCCCACAGGUUGAAGUUUUCCUCCGAGUAUACCAGCUGGAGUCGGGAAAGCUUCCUCGGAAUCCAUCUCUCUCUUCGGAAGCCGAGGACGAGGUAUUCCUUGCCAUUGCUAAAGCUAUGGAAGAAAUGGUAGAAGAUCACAUUGAUUGUUAUUGGCUCAUCAGUAGCUUUGUGAACCAGUUGAACAAUAAGUACAAGGAUUCAAUACCACAGCUGCCAAAACUUUUGGAACAGUACCUGAGCCUUGAGGACAGCGGACUCUUAACGCAUCUGAAGUUGUGUUCAGCAAUGGACCAUCUUCCUUACAAUCUUUGGUUUAGAAAGUGUUUUGCGGGUUGUCUACCUGAAUCCAGCUUACAAAGGGUUUGGGACAAAGUUAUUAGCGGCUCCUGCAAAAUUCUGGUCUUCGUUGCUGUUGAGAUUUUAUUAACCUUUAAAAUGAAGUUGAUGGCCUUGAAUAGCGCAGGAAAGAUUCAACAGUUUUUGGAAAAUAUACCUCAAGAUAACACGGAUGCAAUAGUGAGCAAAGCGAUUGAGCUGUGGCACAAACAUUGUGGGACCCCUGCACAUUCAGUCUGAGACCAUGCUGCCCACAGAUCCACCCAGCAUGUGAAACCAUCACCAGCCAACCUGGGAGAUCCCUCCAAUCCUGUGAGACUCAAGUUGCUGUUUAGUGGCCUGGAAACCUAAACAGAAAGGAAGGCAGCAUAUUCGAGGGACACUGAGCUUUUGGAACAGGUGUUUUGCACACGCAAGCCUGCUAGGAACCUGCCUGCCUGCAGAAAACAAGCAAAUCCAAUGUUCCAUGCAAUCGCAAGUAAAGGAAUCUGCUAAGGGUGGACCCAUCUAUUUCCAAAUGUACCAGUGGGCACAACAGCAACACAGUACGUAGUCACUCCCAGAUCAGCUCAAUGGUAUCUUAAUGUAGGGCAAGGGGGCAUCUUCAAAGCAGUGCCACUGUACUAGCUCUGGAAGAUGCUCCUUUGCAUGUGGAUAACAUUGGGCUGAGCGCUAGGUCUUGAAAAGCUACAAGACUUGUAUCGUGAAUAGGCUCCCAACUGCAUGUGUUAAGUGCUAAGCUGAUAGCCCAGCCCACUUGGAAAUUAAUGUUGGCAGAAAUGUGGGAAAAGACUCAGCAUACUUCUUUAACCAAUUGCAUCACAAAUCACAGUAAAACCAGAAUAAGUGGUUUUACUUGCACAGAAUUUGGCAAUCUUAUUGUUAGGAGGAAAUGUUCUACCUUGUCUGGUUUGUAACCGUAGCCAUAAUUUGUAUUUUUAACUGGAAGGCACACAGGAGAUAAACCAGCAGGUAAAUCGACCCCUUGUGCGCCCUCCAAGCCACUCAGUAAAGAAUGCUGAGCCUUGUCCUGUGCUUCAAGGAAGAAAACAGACCCAUAACCACACCUUGUGAAUCCCCUGGCAUGCUACCACACAACUGUUGAUAAAUGCAAGGUACUGAGGAUCUGUAAUAUGUAAAAGCUUUUCACAGCAUUGUGCCCACCCACUAGCUGUGGUGCCCAGUGAUGGUGGGGAAUGCCUUUUAGCCUCCUCAGCUAAAAAAGAAAAAAAAGUGCAUCGCUAAACAGGCUUGUUUUUAUUUGACUCGGGCUGAGGAGGAGAGAGGGCCUUUUCCAUGGGGUGAGGAGAAAAUGCAGGUUACCAAUGUUCUGUUCAAAAAGAAAAGUUAUGUUGCCCUAUACAAACUUCUUAACAGCAGUGGGAAAGUGUGAGAAGUGAACUUUGCUUGGGAGAGGCAUGCUCAGGGCUCAGCUGCUGAAAGAGAGUGGGGGUUCCUUACCAGGAGGCAUCAAACUGGUGGGCUUAGCCAAAGUGCUUUCAAAGACAGGGAUCUGGAACACUAUCCAAUGUGCAAGGGUCAUCCUAUUAAGAGAAGAGCCAAUGCCUUAAUAACAAAACAAAACAAAAAACCCCUCCACAAAUCCAAUCCAAAUGCUUUGGUUCUCAGUAUCAUGCUGGGACAUUCUUGACAACAUAUUUUGUUAUUUACACCAUGUAGUGUUCUACACAACAGAAAUCCCAGCUCUUAAAAAAUAAACGUAUCCAUGCGCACAGAGCAAAAUUGACCCUACAAUGAUCUUGAGCUCAUUUCUUCUCUGCAUUGCACACCUUUACGGAACCUGCAGCAUCUAAGUAAAGUUGGCGUGCUGUAUCAAUUUGGUUAACUGGCAGAGCUGCUCUGCCAUCCAGCCUCUUUAUGCAGGUGUAAAUGAAAGCAGGAAGUUACCAAGCAGGGCAAAAGGCAUCCUGACUCGUUCUGUCCGUAAAGGUAAUAAGCAUGUUACUGAAUAUCCCUGUAAUAAUCGGCAACAAUUUCAAAACAUCACUUUUUGCAGCAAGGGGGGGGGGGGGUCACUUGAAUGAAAGAGAUGGGUGACAAGGAAUCUUCUGGGUGUUUCCCUCACAAAACAAAUGGGUGACAGCCAGCCAGCCAGCCAAGAGAUCCUCCAGGGAUGAUUCUUGUGAAGUGUCAAAGAUAGGUAGGUCCUCUGAGCGGGUCUUGGCCUUCCCCCGCAUCUUUCUAAGGUGCUCUCAAACAGAAAGAAGUGUUUGCUCAAAGUGUUGACCCAGAAGGAUGGCAGGCCUCGUCCCAGCUUUUGUCCAGCAGGUCUAUGCCCAACACCAACUGCCUUCAGCUUUCUUUGGAGUCAGAUGGGAGAUGCCUGAAGGAAGACGGGAUGCAUUAACGGCUGAUCUUGGAUGAGGAUGGGGAAUCCACACAGCAGAGUUUCGAAUAUGAGUGCCAACUCCUGGCCCAAUUCUUGCCAUGAGUGGCUUCGGUUGCUGAAAGUUGUGCCAACAUGUCUCAUGAUGUAGUUCUACCAAGAACAGGAAAACACAAGUUUCCCUGUCGUCGUCGUCGUCUUCCUCCUCUUCUUGGUUUUUAAAAAGGCAGUCCAGGAAAUUUACAUUGUACAUUAACAGAGAAGUGAAUGGUACCAGCACUUAUGGUUCUUUCCAGAUAUGUUUUGAAGAUGGUGGAGUGCUCAAUUUCUAUGGUCUAUGAAACCUAAAAUUAAAAAAGGGGACGGAGAAGGGAAAGAAAGUAAAUCCAAUUGUGUUUGAACGAGUCAACCAAUUUGAUUGUUGCAUUUCCCCCCCCAAACAUUCAGAAUCAUGACAGAGCUUGGGGUCUGAAAUAUCCAAUAUAAACCUAAUCCCUCAACAGCCCUGAGAACCAUGGAGAAGUGAGUUGGGAGUUGCUGUGGGAAUGAAGACCUCUCAACAAUUUAUCCUGAUAGGUAGGAUGGCACAUAGCAGCCUUCCCCAACCUAGUGCCCGCCAGACAUUUUGAAGUAAAACUACCAUCAGCAUGCUGGCUGGGGCAGACGGAAGGUGUAGUGCAAAGCAUCUGGGGGGCACCAGGUUAGGGAAGGACUGGGUAGCAGAAGGACUGCCAGGCUGUCUUCCUGGGAAGGGAAGAGGUUAAUUCUACCCAAAGCCACUGUGACUGUCCUAGCUGACUUGCACAUUCUAAGACUCCCCAAUUAUAUUCCUCCACCAGAGAGUCAUUCAUACAUAAAACUACCGUGCAACUGUUGUGUGAAUUACACUGCAAUAUGUCAUAAGAGGUUCUCGGGGUCUUUUAUUUUACACAGUAUUUCACUCUCAUAAGAGCUCCUUCAUCUGCCACAAGAGAAAAGCAACACAUACACAUAUUAUGUCUGCCCAUUACUCAUUUCCAUAAUGGCACAAAGAUCUCAUUACCUUCCUAAUGAUUUUAUAAUAGGGGCUUCUUGGGGGUUUGUGUAAGUGGGAUGACUCAACAGCAUAAAAAUCAAGAUGUGGGGGGGGGGGUAGGUACAAAUGGACAUGGAAAACGAGCCCUGGUAGUUUCCUGUCACAGGGUUAGGAGGGUAGAAUUCUGUGUUCAGAUAGAUAAGGGGUUUCCCAGUGUAACUGGUCUGUACACAAACACACUCCAUCCAACAUUCAAUCCUUUGGUCUGACCCAGCAGGACUCUUCAUAAGUUCUUAAAUUCUGUGAUACAAAGUUGAGUGGUACAUCAACAUUUUCAGAAACAGAAAUGUGGACCUUUGUUAUACAUCUGAAAAAAAUUCCAGGGCUAAACCAGCCCCCUUUGCAUAAUAAUAGUAAAUAUAUGUAUACACCAUUCCUGCCAUGUUUUUGCUUCUAUGGAAAUGAAGCUGCGAAUGUAGUUGCAAAUAUCAUUGCAUAUAGCCCAAGGCAAGCCUUACAUCUAGUAAUACUACAGAUGAAUAGUAUACAAAAAAAAUAAAAUACAUACUGACAA